rnacentral:rRNA from 1 species
GACGAACGCUGGCGGCGCGCUUAACACAUGCAAGUCGAGCGACGAAAGGGCCUUCGGGCCCCUGAAAGCGGCGAACGGGUGAGUAACACGUGGGUAACCCACCCUCGGUUUCGGGAUAGCCCGGGGAAACCCGGAUUAAUACCGAAUGGCCUCGCGGAUCCACGGAUCCGUGAGAAAAGGUAGCUUCGGCCUCCGACCGAGGACGGGCCCGCGGCCGAUUAGCUUGUUGGUGGGGUAACGGCCCACCAAGGCGACAAUCGGUAGCUGGUCNGAGAGGACGAUCAGCCACACUGGGACUGAGACACGGCCCAGACUCCUACGGGAGGCAGCAGUGGGGAAUCUUGCGCAAUGGGCGAAAGCCUGACGCAGCGACGCCGCGUGAGGGAUGACGGCCUU